rnacentral:lncRNA from 1 species
GGCCGUAAUAAUCUCUAUUUACUUUCUCACAUGAAGUUAAAGAACAGGGGAUUUUCAGGAUAAAGUAUGCUAGACGGGAGCCUCUUGAACAUCUAAAGAUGUGUUGCUAGAUCUGAGCACUUGCCAAGUUAGGAAUUUCAGGAUAUUUAGUAGUUUUAAGUGUUGUUUGGUAAAACUUAAACUAAUCAGUGGAAUCUAAGAGCUAAUCCAGUCCAAUACCACAUACUGAUAAGCUAAUAGCGUUUCUCAAUGUCAAUGCUCGCUAGAGUUCAGAAGAAACUUGUUCUCUCCUUCAGAAAAAUAGAAUUUCUUUUCCACCAACUUUCUGCUGAUAAUUUCGGCAUUUUGAUUUAGUUUCGUUAGAAAAAAGAAAGCAGUAGAUCUCUACAUUAAUGGUUUUCAAGAAGUUGUUUUCUAAUGUGUCCUUUAUCUUAUGUACAUCAAAUUCAGCAUUUUCGUCAACCAAUAUAUACCAUAUCCAACAUUGGCAUAGUUCUGCUGCCAGAGAUGGACUGUCGAUCUUAGAAUCAAUAUACUUAUUGGCUGCACCUUUGACAUUUUUCGGCAUUUUAUUAUGUAAACAUGCACUAAAAUGAGCUUGCUUACCCAAUAAAGUAAUAAGGAGUGGUCGGUUUAUUGUUGCUUACAUUUUAAUGCUCAUGCUCUUUGGCUAAGAAGCGGUUUGCCUUCUGAAAUCUGAAUAUUCUACAUUUAACUUACCUUAACUUUGUAAGAGAACAUGUCUACAUCGGCCUUGAAACCCUUUUCUUAAAGGAUAAGUCUAGAUCAUAUGCAAUACAUUCUAGAGAACACGACCAAAUAAUGAAUCCAUAUACGACAAGGAAAUGCUUGACGGCCAUGUUUGGUUUGAGAAGUUUGUCAGAAGUCUUUCAAAACCCAAAAACUAAGUUUGAAAUUUUGUUUGGGUAUUGUCCUUUUUCCAACGAAACCGAGAAGCCAGUUUUUUAACCUAAAGUGAGCUCUAACCCAAAACUGGUUGAUAUUGGAUAGUUAAAUAUGAGAGAUUUAGGGUGAAGCUUUAACCAAUAAGUGUUUGGACGAUGAGGUAUUUCUGUUGUGUGUUUGUGUACAUAUAUUUUUAUAACAGUUAUUGUUUUGACGUUGCGCUGAUGGACAAUGAGUGUGUGGUUCUCUUUUUACACAUUUUUUCAUUUUUACUUAUCCAGCAAUCAGUGCACUCAGUUUACUUUUUACUUAUCUUUUGUGUCCUGCACGCUGUGGCAGUUAGAAAGCUAUGUUCAUUUACUGGUUGCCUGGUUAUUUGACUGCACAUAAUCAUGGUGCCGGAGAGUAGGUGAUUGCAUAUGAAUAUCAGUCACACAACCUUCUCCCUUUCUGGCAACUGUUUGACUUUGAUUGGCAUACAACAGAGAGAGAUUUGCUAAGCCCUUGGUUAAAUGAACCUAAAUAGUCGAUCCCCACCCAUCGUGAAGUAAAGAAACUUCAGUUCAGAAAAAAGAAGAGAGAAAUUUAAUCUUUAUGGGAGGUCUUUCCCAUGUGGGAACUGCAUUAUCGAACAACUCUAACUUCACCAUGAGCUUGUAUCGAAUAUACAGUAUGGAGGGAGGAUCCCAUAGCACAACGUGGUGCUUGGGGCAUUCCUCCUUUUAAGAGAAGACUAGAGGGCAAAAGAAGUAAGCUCUUACAUUGGAUAAAGCCUAAUUCCACCGUCCUUCGAAAAUCAGAUAAUAGUGAAGACGGACUUUCUAGCAAAACAAAUGAUUCCCUAUGAAGGACAUAUUGCUAAAAGAAACAAAAGAUCAUCAGAGAAUCCUCCUUUCAUGUUCAUUAUAACUAUAUUUAGCAUCAAACUGUUGCGUGUUGCCUGUCUUAGUUCACUGCCUUCUUUUGAGUAACUGCUUUCACCGAGCCAAGGGUUUUUAUCGGAAACAACUUCUCUACCUUUGCAAGGUAGGGGCAAGGUCUGUGUACUCCUUACCCUUUCCAAGAGCUCACUUGUGAGAUUAUACGUCUAUGUUGUUGUUCUUGUUUUCUUUUAAGUAACCCAGUUUUAGCUCAGUGCCUUUGCAAUCACUUCUUCACCAAACUCGAACUCUUGGGUUGUAGAAUUGGAGCUCUUAUUUUCUUUUGUUCUCUUUUUCUCAAAACAGUGUUAUCUUUCAAUACAUAAUUUGAAAGAAAGGAACAUUUAACAUAGAACAUCCAAUUAAACUAGAAAUAUCAGUUCACCAAGUAAACUAAUCGACCUUAAAUAUUGGUAACUCACAGAUGCGCAAAGAGCUAAUAUCAGUUUAAAAUGGACAUCAAAAUAUUGAAAUAAACAAGUUUACAAAUUUCAACCAAUCAAUUAUGUCUCAGUCUCAAACUAAAGGUCACUACUUAACUAGUUUGAAAACUUCAUCCAAUCAAUUAUGCCGCAAUCUAAAACUAAUGGUCACUGCUUAACUAGGCUCUUGAGGUGUACGGCGAUGGCCCUUGGUGCAAUCAAAUACUGAUGCCUCAGAAGAAUCGUAAGAAUCCCAAUAUAUCCAGCUAUUUCUUCCAGUGUCGGAAUGAGUUCAAAAUCUGGAAAAUGAAAUACGUUGUGGGCAAGGUCCCAAAAUGUAACCAAAGCGUAUAUGAUGUCUCCUCUGGGAUUAAUUUUUAACAAACUGGUAAGUCUUCCCAAGUGCGUGUUGACCCUGUUUUGCCCCGCUUCACCCAGAUCAUUCCACCACAUGUGUAGCUCCAAAGGGAUUUUAUUCAUGACCGUUAUUGGCAAAUUUUGAUUCAUGUUCAUUCUGCAUAUUUAUUAGGGUGAUUAAGCAAAAAUCAAGAUUUAUUUGACUCAAAAACAAAGUUGAUUUUUCGAAUUUUAAUUUCACAAAUUAAAUCCCGGCCUUGCAAGUACGGCCUUUCAGCACUUCCGGAGGACGAUUUUAAGGUUGUGCCUGCUACCGGUCA